rnacentral:tRNA from 1 species
GAAUAGGUGUAGCUCAGUUGGUUAGAGCGGCUUUCUAAUACGAGGUAGCAGUCGUAUGAAUUAAUUAAUUCGCAUGGGUUCAAGUCCCAUCACUAUUCA